rnacentral:rRNA from 1 species
AGCUACAGGCUUAACACAUGCAAGUCGAGGGGCAGCAUGGUCUUAGCUUGCUAAGGCCGAUGGCGACCGGCGCACGGGUGAGUAACACGUAUCCAACCUGCCGUCUACUCUUGGACAGCCUUCUGAAAGGAAGAUUAAUACAAGAUGGCAUCAUGAGUCCGCAUGUUCACAUGAUUAAAGGUAUUCCGGUAGACGAUGGGGAUGCGUUCCAUUAGAUAGUAGGCGGGGUAACGGCCCACCUAGUCUUCGAUGGAUAGGGGUUCUGAGAGGAAGGUCCCCCACAUUGGAACUGAGACACGGUCCAAACUCCUACGGGAGGCAGCAGUGAGGAAUAUUGGUCAAUGGGCGAGAGCCUGAACCAGCCAAGUAGCGUGAAGGAUGACUGCCCUAUGGGUUGUAAACUUCUUUUAUAAAGGAAUAAAGUCGGGUAUGGAUACCCGUUUGCAUGUACUUUAUGAAUAAGGAUCGGCUAACUCCGUGCCAGCAGCCGCGGUAAUACGGAGGAUCCGAGCGUUAUCCGGAUUUAUUGGGUUUAAAGGGAGCGUAGAUGGAUGUUUAAGUCAGUUGUGAAAGUUUGCGGCUCAACCGUAAAAUUGCAGUUGAUACUGGAUAUCUUGAGUGCAGUUGAGGCAGGCGGAAUUCGUGGUGUAGCGGUGAAAUGCUUAGAUAUCACGAAGAACUCCGAUUGCGAAGGCAGCCUGCUAAGCUGCAACUGACAUUGAGGCUCGAAAGUGUGGGUAUCAAACAGGAUUAGAUACCCUGGUAGUCCACACGGUAAACGAUGAAUACUCGCUGUUUGCGAUAUACUGCAAGCGGCCAAGCGAAAGCGUUAAGUAUUCCACCUGGGGAGUACGCCGGCAACGGUGAAACUCAAAGGAAUUGACGGGGGCCCGCACAAGCGGAGGAACAUGUGGUUUAAUUCGAUGAUACGCGAGGAACCUUACCCGGGCUUAAAUUGCAGAUGAAUUACGGUGAAAGCCGUAAGCCGCAAGGCAUCUGUGAAGGUGCUGCAUGGUUGUCGUCAGCUCGUGCCGUGAGGUGUCGGCUUAAGUGCCAUAACGAGCGCAACCCUUGUUGUCAGUUACUAACAGGUUCCGCUGAGGACUCUGACAAGACUGCCAUCGUAAGGUGUGAGGAAGGUGGGGAUGACGUCAAAUCAGCACGGCCCUUACGUCCGGGGCUACACACGUGUUACAAUGGGGGGUACAGAGGGCCGCUACCACGCGAGUGGAUGCCAAUCCCCAAAACCUCUCUCAGUUCGGACUGGAGUCUGCAACCCGACUCCACGAAGCUGGAUUCGCUAGUAAUCGCGCAUCAGCCACGGCGCGGUGAAUACGUUCCCGGGCCUUGUACACACCGCCCGUCAAGCCAUGGGAGCCGGGGGUACCUGAAGUGCGUAACCGCGAGGAGCGCCCUAGGGUAAAACUGGUGACUGGGGCUAA